rnacentral:rRNA from 1 species
AUUGAACGCUGGCGGCAUGCCUUACACAUGCAAGUCGAACGGUAACAGGUCUUCGGAUGCUGACGAGUGGCGAACGGGUGAGUAAUACAUCGGAACGUGCCCGAGAGUGGGGGAUAACGAAGCGAAAGCUUUGCUAAUACCGCAUACGAUCUCAGGAUGAAAGCAGGGGACCGCAAGGCCUUGCGCUCACGGAGCGGCCGAUGGCAGAAUAGGUAGUUGGUGGGAUAAAAGCUUACCAAGCCGACGAUCUGUAGCUGGUCUGAGAGGACGACCAGCCACACUGGGAAUGAGACACGGCCCAGACUCCUACGGGAGGCAGCAGUGGGGAAUUUUGGACAAUGGGCGCAAGCCUGAUCCAGCCAUGCCGCGUGCAGGAUGAAGGCCUUCGGGUUGUAAACUGCUUUUGUACGGAACGAAAAGACUCCUUCUAAUAAAGGGGGUCCAUGACGGUACCGUAAGAAUAAGCACCGGCUAACUACGUGCCAGCAGCCGCGGUAAAAC